rnacentral:rRNA from 1 species
AUUGAACGCUGGCGGCAGGCCUAACACAUGCAAGUCGAGCGGAUGAAGGGAGCUUGCUCCUGGAUUCAGCGGCGGACGCGUGAGUAAUGCCUAGGAAUCUGCCUGGUAGUGGGGGAUAACGUCCGGAAACGGGCGCUAAUACCGCAUACGUCCUGAGGGAGAAAGUGGGGGAUCUUCGGACCUCACGCUAUCAGAUGAGCCUAGGUCGGAUUAGCUAGUUGGUGGGGUAAAGGCCUACCAAGGCGACGAUCCGUAACUGGUCUGAGAGGAUGAUCAGUCACACUGGAACUGAGACACGGUCCAGACUCCUACGGGAGGCAGCAGUGGGGAAUAUUGGACAAUGGGCGAAAGCCUGAUCCAGCCAUGCCGCGUGUGUGAAGAAGGUCUUCGGAUUGUAAAGCACUUUAAGUUGGGAGGAAGGGCAGUAAGUUAAUACCUUGCUGUUUUGACGUUACCAACAGAAUAGCACCGGCUAACUUCGUG